AAAGCCUGCAGAAGCCAGGGAAGCUCCUCACUGCCCGCAGAGCAAAGGGGUGUGAGGAUUUGGAGUGCCUCUUUCCCCGCUCCGAGCUGUCUUUUUUACCCUCUUCCUAACUUGAAAAAAAAAUCUUCGCAGCAUCUAACCCAAUCACUCGCAUCCUGCUUACUUAUUCAUACAAUCAGGGUCAGGAUCCGGGCCACAGCCUCCUCUCUGACUUCGUUUGAUAGCCUUAUACAAACAAACAGACACGAGCGCGCUGACAUUUCCAUUUCUAUUUUGCUAAAGAUAAAAACGAAUGUAUUCCUCAUCUGCCCUCCAUGAACAGCAAUUAAUAGAUGAGGUACGUGUCGAUGCACAGCGCCAGACCGGGGGUGGCGCGAGGGAUCGUGACAACUUCACUGCAAAUCUCCCCAUGCUGCCCCCACCCCGCCCCCAGAUAAACAGGCAGUGUGUUUCUUUGCAUGACUGCUGUGUAACCUUCCUACCGCCUGAGAGUGGAAGUAUCUGACCCCCCCUGUCUGUUUUAGGUAAGAAAAUAGAGUUCUGUUCAAAGUCAGUCUCCCAACCAACAAAGUUUUACUAAGAACUGGAAAAAUCAAUUAAAAAAAUAAUAAUCGAGUUCCAGAUCGCACCAGCAGGAAACUCUAAGUAAGCCCUCGGUGAUGGGCUGGCGCGAGGGCUCACGUGGGCGCGGGACGGGAAGUUGGAAGUAAUACUCGCCACGCACAUUUUCUGACAGAUCUGGCGCCCGUGCCCAGCGCCUCCUAGUACCCUUCGGCUUCACCGCUUCGCUUGUUUGACUUCCUCCCUAGGACAGGGUGUAAGAGUCCGCAGCUGGAUCAGAGACGUAAACCACACAUCAGCCGAGCAGACUCAAGACAAACACAGGUUCUGCCUGUCCACCUUGGAGACAGAGUUCCUUGUCUCCCGAGCUGCUGGUCUACAAGGUUCUGUAACUUCUCUGAUUUCUGCCUCCUGCCUUGCUUCAGGAAUGCUGAACUUACAGAUGUGUAAAAAGAAUACUUCGUGUUGAUAGCAUUUUCUGGAUGAAAUGUAAAUACUUCAAUCAAAUACAUUUCCAUGAGAAGAAACUCCUCAGACCUCCAUGGAAUUUAACCUCUACACUUUUUUCCCUAAAAAUUGUAAACAAUGGCUUUAAAAAAGUAUUAAUUUUCA